rnacentral:lncRNA from 1 species
GAAUUAUGUGGCUCCUUCAUGUACUUUUUGAUUGAACAGUGAUAACUCAGAUAAUACAUUAUCCCGUGCCCCUCUCUGAGAGGAACCUGCCUUUUUUUUUUUUUUUUUUUCUUUUUUUUUUUUUUUUUUUUUUUUUUAACAGAGCAGUGAAAGAAGACUUCAUAGAGGCAUUUAAAGUGACAUCACCAUGCCAAUCCCAACUUACUACAACCGGCGAGAAGCAACUGCUAGACCAGAUUAAAUACGACGAAGGAACACUGGGUCC